GACGAACGCUGGCGGCGUGCUUAACACAUGUAAGUCGAACGGAAAGGCCUGCUUUCCCUUGUGGAUUGCGGGUACUCGAGUGGCGAACGGGUGAGUAACACGUGAGUGAUCUGCCCCCAACUUGGGUAUAAGCCUGGGAAACUGGGUCUAAUUCCCGAUAGGACUGCAGGGUGGUGCCUGUGGUGGAAAACGAUUUUCUAGUGGUUGGGGAUGAGCUCGCGGCCUAUCAGCUUGUUGGUGGGGUAAUGGCCUACCAAGGCGGCGACGGGUAGCCGGCCUGAGAGGGGGGACGGGGACAUUGGGACUGGGAUGCGGCCCAGACGGCUACGGGAGGCAGGGGGGGGGAAGAUGGGACAAGGGGCGGAAGCCUGAUGCAGCGACGCCGCGUGGGGGAUGACGGCCUUCGGGUUGUAAACUCCUUUCGACCGCGAGGAAGCCACCUGGUUGGAAGGGUGGUGACGGUAGUGGUAGAAGAAGCACCGGCUAACUACGUG
rnacentral:rRNA from 1 species